CCAUCAGGGUGGCCUGGCUUCCCCUUGCUAUGGCAGCAGCACCUGGUUUUCUAGGUAGCCUCAGAUCAAGAUGUUCUCCGGGGCUGACCUUCCCAUCCCUGCUCCAAUGACUGGCUCAAGGAUGUGCAGGGACCUGUGACAAUCAAUUUCGGACUCAGGCAGAACAGCAAGAAAGUGUCCUAUUCCACUUGAAAAUUUGAGAGCUGGGAAGACAUAAGCUUGGAGCUUCUGGAGGGCCACUGUGUCUCAGAAUGAAUACACUCAGAGCAAAGCAAAACUUGGAGAUGGAGACACUGAGAACUACUGAUGUACACAGCUAGAUCCAGCCAUACCUGAAACGCUGUUACUCUUAGACUUCUCAACCAGGUGCGUCAGUUGGUUGGCUCUCAUUGGCUGAAGCCCUGUUUGUGGGCAGGCUUUUGGUCACUUAGCAACGGAGAGACUCCCACCCAAGAACAACAGUGGUGCCUCCCAGGAACCAUCCCCCACAGAAGGUCCCUUAUGGGUUUCUCAUGGCUGAAAUAGGAGAUGAGGACAUGGUCUUGGGGUUGGGAGUAAGGAGUAAGGGCAGGCUGAGAGAAGCUGGGAUGCCAUGGGGGGCAGGAAAAUACUCCCCUCAUCAGGCUGAGAUCUUCUGAGCCCCUACUAUGUGCCGGACACUGGGGAUCCAAAGGUGGACCCUACAGACACUGCAGUCUGUUCUCGUGCUCGGAAACAGAUCAUUGGUGAGGAAACUGAGGCCCAGAGAAGGGAAGGUGACUUCCCUUAAGUCACGUAGCUACUCAGAUUCCAAGCCAGGAUUCAAACCCAGGCCGUCUCAAUCACGGCCUCUUCUCCAGCCCUCCCCAGUCCGCAGCCACAAAGCUGCUCAGCCAUUCACAGCCGCCAAAGGCUGGAAUGGCAGAAUAUCCUCAACAGAUGAAAGAAUAAACAAAAUGUAGCAUACCCGCACGGUGAGAUACGACUUGGCCACAAAGAAAGGAAGUACUGAUAAAUGCUGUAAGGCUCAUGGACAUUAAAAACACUAUGCUAAGUGAAAGAAGUAAGGCACAAAAGGCCCUAUACUAUGAUUCCACUUACAUGAAAUAUCCAGCAUCGAUAAAUCCACAGCAACAGAAAGUAGAGGCAACCUACUGAAUGUGAGAAGAUAUUCCCAAAUGACAUAUCCAAUAAGGGGUUAAUAUGCAAAAUAUAUAAAGAUCUCAUGCGACCUAACACCUCAAAACCAAAUAAUCCAAUUAAAAUAAGCAGAAGAUAUAAAUUGACAUGUUCCCAAGGAAGACAUCCAGAUGGCCAAUAGACCUAUGAAGAGAUGCUCCACAUCACUCAUCCUCAGGGAAAUGAAAAUUAAAACCACAACGGGAUAGCACCUCACUCCCAUCGGAAUAGCCAGAAUUAAAACAACCACAACCACAACCAGAAAUAACAUAUGUUGCUGAGGACGUGGAGGAAAAGGGACUCUCCUGAUGGUGGAAAUGUAAGUUGGUGCAACCACUGCGGAAAACAGUGUGGAGAUGCCUCAGAAAAUUAAAAAUAGUAACACAG